rnacentral:rRNA from 1 species
UACAGAGGGGGCAAGCGUUGUUCGGAAUUACUGGGCGUAAAGGGCGCGUAGGCGGCCUUCUAAGUCGGACGUGAAAUCCCCGGGCUCAACCCGGGAACUGCGUCCGAUACUGGAUGGCUUGAGUUUGGGAGAGGGAUGCGGAAUUCCAGGUGUAGCGGUGAAAUGCGUAGAUAUCUGGAGGAAUACCGGUGGCGAAGGCGGCAUCCUGGACCGGCAUUGACGCUGAACGGCGAAAGCUAGGGGAGCAAACGGG